CUCGUGUGUUGUCCAUAAGGCUUGCAUCAACUCCUUCCCUUUCAAGCCCUGAAAAGUGUGUUCUGCAAAAGCUCUUCGGCUUAAGAAUAGGGUUUUAUAUAGCCCUUUAUAAGCUCGCAUAGCAGCAACCAUCUUAUCCAUGUUACCAAAAUAAGUAGCCAUGUAUGAAUCACUAUUGAUAGAUACAUAGUAAUCCAAGGCAGCUUUUGUGUUCCCAUGCAUACUUGUGAAAUCCUCACCGUUAAGAAGGGCAGAUUUUUUAAAAACCUUUGUG
rnacentral:misc_RNA from 1 species